AUACUUACCUGGAAGGGGAGACAUCAUGAUCACAAAGUCGGUUUUCCAAGGGACAGCCUUGGCCAUUGCACUUCGGAUGUGCUAUUUCCUUGAAUGAUGAGAAACUGAACUACAUAAUUUGUGGUAGUGGUGGACUGCAUUCUGAUUUUCCCCU
rnacentral:snRNA from 1 species